rnacentral:rRNA from 1 species
UAAUACGUAGGGGGCAAGCGUUGUCCGGAAUCAUUGGGCGUAAAGAGCGUGUAGGCGGUUUGAUAAGUCCGUUGUAAAAGUCCAGGGCUCAACCCUGGAAAGCCGGUGGAUACUGUCAAACUCGAGUGCGGGAGAGGCGAGUGGAAUUCCUGGUGUAGCGGUGAAAUGCGCAGAUAUCAGGAGGAACACCAAUUGCGAAGGCAGCUCGCUGGAACGUAACUGACGCUGAGACGCGAAAGCGUGGGGAGCAAACAGGAUUAGAUACCCUGGUAGUCCACGCUGUAAACGAUGGGCACUAGGUGUGGGGGGUGUCGACUCCCUCCGUGCCGAAGCUAACGCAUUAAGUGCCCCGCCUGGGGAGUACGGCCGCAAGGCUA